GACGAACGCUGGCGGCGUGCUUAACACAUGCAAGUCGAACGGAAAGGCCCUGCUUUUGUGGGGUGCUCGAGUGGCGAACGGGUGAGUAACACGUGAGUAACCUGCCCUUGACUUUGGGAUAACUUCAGGAAACUGGGGCUAAUACCUGAUAGGAGCUCCUGCUGCAUGGUGGGGGUUGGAAAGUUUCGGCGGUUGGGGAUGGACUCGCGGCUUAUCAGCUUGUUGGUGGGGUAGUGGCUUACCAAGGCUUUGACGGGUAGCCGGCCUGGGAGGGUGACCGGACACAUUGGGACGGAGAUACGGCCCGGACUCCUACGGGAGGCAGCAGUGGGGAAUAUUGCACAAUGGGCGGAAGCCUGAUGCAGCAACGCAGCGUGCGGGAUGACGGCCUUCGGGUUGUAAACCGCUUUCGCCUGUGACGAAGCGUGAGAGACGGUAAUGGGUAAAGAAGCACCGGCUAACUACGAG
rnacentral:rRNA from 1 species